GCUUGACUGUGAGGCUGACGGGCCGAACAGGUACGAAAGUAGGUCCUAGUGAUCCUCGAUACCUUCGUGGGAGGGUACGAGCUUAACGGAUAAAAGCUACCCCGGGGAUAACAGAGUAGUCGCGCCCGAGAGUCCAUAUCGACGGCGCGGUUCGCUACCUCGAUGUCGGCUCAACGCAUCCUGGGGGAGGAGCAUCUCCCAAGGGUUGGUCUGUUCGCCCAUUAAAGCGUUACGCGAGCUGGGUUCAGAACGUCGUGAGACAGUUCGGACUCUAUCCGGUGCAAGCGAGGGAUUUUUGAGGGGAGUUGACCUCAGUACGAGAGGACCAGGUUGAAGGAACCCCUAGUGUACCAGUUGUUACGUCAGUAGCAUCGCUGGGUAGCUACGUUCCUACGGGAUAACCGCUGAAAGCAUCUAAGCGGGAAGCCCACCCCAAGAUGAGAAAUCCACAAACUUGUGCUAUGCACAAGUAGACCCGUUGGAGAAUACAACGUUGAUAGGCAAGUGGUGUAAGGCCCGAGAGGGCUUCAGCCUACUUGUACUAAUUGGUCGAAGG
rnacentral:rRNA from 1 species